rnacentral:rRNA from 1 species
AUGUGUAACGUCAUCACUAUCCCGUCAGUCGCCUGGCUGCGCAGCGCCGUGCGCCGGUGGCGGGCCCGCCGCUCCACCUCCUCCCCGGUGCCGGCGGGGCACGUGGCGGUGUGCGCGGAGGGCGCGCGGUUCAUGGUGCGGCUGGCGCACCUGAGCCACCCAGCGUUCAUGGAGCUGCUCCGGCAGGCGGAGGAGGAGUACGGCUUCCCGUCCGGCGCCUCCGGCCCCGUCGCGCUCCCCUGCGAUGAGGACCGCCUCCGCGACGUCCUCCGCCGCGUCUCUUCCUCGUCCGACUCCAAGGAGCCGCGCCGUUCCUCCUUCUGCCGCCGGCGCGGUGACUCGCGGCCGCUGCUGCAAGGGUUGGCCGUGGAGAAGCUCUUCUUGCGAGCGAUCGACCAACAGGGCGCGUGCAGCAGCACCGAACGAUCGAGCAGCGCAGCGCCCAAUUUCUGCGCGCCACAUCAGCCACUGGUGACAAACAAGGUAUUCCGGCGAAAGCGGCCGUGA